GGAGUUGGCCACUUGUAGUAGCUCUCCGCGAACUUCGAUAUCGGUCACUUCUGAACUAGAAUAGUAAGAUUCAGAACACGAGUAGGAAAGCAGGAGGAACAAGUCUAGUUAUUCGAGUUGAUGGAUAAAAUUGUUACCCAGUAAUUACCAAUGGCGACAACAGGGUGGCCAGCAAGCCAAGUAGGAAUCCUUCACCGGGCUUGUGAAGAAGCAGCUCCGAGAAACGGUUAAGGUACAGGAAUGCAAGAGGAAUUCCCCAAACCUUGAAGUGAGGAAAUUAACGUCUCACCAUUUGCGUUGGCGACCUCCACUGCAAUAUCUAAAGCUGAUUUUUGGAAUCCUACCACUGUAAUGCUCUUUUUUUUUUAUUAAAUCCUUGGCUCUAGAGGUACCCAUGGCAGAGUAGUCCAUAGAAUGGAUCACUUGUCCUUGGAACACCUCAGGCCCUUUGCCUAUUGGAAAAGUAGGAAUAUUGGGGAGCUGCUGAACCGUCCGAUGCAGAGGAUCAGAAAAUCUACGCGGUAGAUCUGGCAUGUAAGUGGAAGGCAAUUAUUAUUCUGUGAUUUAUGAAAAGUACAGCAAGAUCAGAAUAUUAAUCCAUCAACCUCUUUCUACUUAGUAGUAGUGUUAAUAGAUCCCAAGAACACAUCAUUCAAUCUGAUUUGCUCGAACUAUGAAGUUAGGUUGAAUUGCCUGUUGGAUCAAGAUCUUUAUUCUUUAUUGGAUCAUUCUGAGUUUAUUUAUCGGAGGCUCCAACGGCAAAUUUUUUAGGUUAGAUCUGUCAUGGAAGUAGAUGGUUCGAGAAUAAUCUUAAGCUUAAACUUCUAGAUAACGAUGAAUUAGUAUAUUGUAUUCAACACCUUGUUUCCAUUCUAUUAUUAAAGGCUGAAUCUCGAUCGGUGAUCGUUUGCUUUA